UGAAGAGAUGUAUUGUUUUGGUCUAA
rnacentral:piRNA from 1 species